AUUGGGUGAAGGAGUGGAAAGAAUUUUAGUCCAAGCAAAGUUGAGUCCAAGCUGAAAUUAGAUUGAGUCCAUGCAAUAAGUGAUUUGAUUCACAAUGGGUUAGCCUCUUCAAUAUCAAUUAGAUUGAGUCCAAGGCAUGAAUGGGUCCAUGGCUAAUUAGAAGUGGUCACAUGUCAAAAUAAAGAGAAGUUCAACCAUGAAGACCUCUCACAUGUGGAAGAAAUUCAGAGUUCAAAUCCAGUUGAAAUCCGUGAUAGAUUGAACACCAUAUGGUAUUUUGAAGAUUUUGGAAGCUACAGGAGUCUGAUUAAGUUGAUUCAAAUUUUUUUGGAAAGUAGACAUCCGUAGCUUUCCAAUGACUAUAAGAACAUGAAAUUUGGAGAUCAGAUGACAUUUGAGAAGUCUCCCGAACUUCAUGCUGAUGUUGGUACCCGAGAAGGAGUCCACCUAGAUUCCAACUCAUGGCAUGCGGCUGAAUUCCUUUUGAUGGGUUUCAAUCCACACGCCAUAAGGAACGGAUUCCUAGGUAUCUAGGCUUCGGUGUCAAGGCCUUUGAUUGGUCAAUUAGAAAAUUUAAAUUUUGAAUUGAGUCCUCAUGUAAUUAGGAGUCUAAUUUAAAAUUCUGUGUAGUCCUUAUCCUUAUCCUUUGCCAACCUUUUUUUCUAUAUAAAGGAGGGUAUGA
rnacentral:lncRNA from 1 species